GUAUCAGAAGUGCGAAUGCUGACAUAAGUAACGAUAAAGCGGGUGAAAAGCCCGCUCGCCGGAAGACCAAGGGUUCCUGUCCAACGUUAAUCGGGGCAGGGUGAGUCGACCCCUAAGGCGAGGCCGAAAGGCGUAGUCGAUGGGAAACAGGUUAAUAUUCCUGUACUUGGUGUUACUGCGAAGGGGGGACGGAGAAGGCUAUGUUGGCCGGGCGACGGUUGUCCCGGUUUAAGCGUGUAGGCUGGUUUUCCAGGCAAAUCCGGAAAACCAAGGCUGAGGCGUGAUGACGAGGCACUACGGUGCUGAAGCAACAAAUGCCCUGCUUCCAGGAAAAGCCUCUAAGCAUCAGGUAACAUCAAAUCGUACCCCAAACCGACACAGGUGGUCAGGUAGAGAAUACCAAGGCGCUUGAGAGAACUCGGGUGAAGGAACUAGGCAAAAUGGUGCCGUAACUUCGGGAGAAGGCACGCUGAUAUGUAGGUGAAGCGACUUGCUCGUGGAGCUGAAAUCAGUCGAAGAUACCAGCUGGCUGCAACUGUUUAUUAAAAACACAGCACUGUGCAAACACGAAAGUGGACGUAUACGGUGUGACGCCUGCCCGGUGCCGGAAGGUUAAUUGAUGGGGUUAGCGGUAACGCGAAGCUCUUGAUCGAAGCCCCGGUAAACGGCGGCCGUAACUAUAACGGUCCUAAGGUAGCGAAAUUCCUUGUCGGGUAAGUUCCGACCUGCACGAAUGGCGUAAUGAUGGCCAGGCUGUCUCCACCCGAGACUCAGUGAAAUUGAACUCGCUGUGAAGAUGCAGUGUACCCGCGGCAAGACGGAAAGACCCCGUGAACCUUUACUAUAGCUUGACACUGAACAUUGAGCCUUGAUGUGUAGGAUAGGUGGGAGGCUUUGAAGUGUGGACGCCAGUCUGCAUGGAGCCGACCUUGAAAUACCACCCUUUAAUGUUUGAUGUUCUAACGUGGGCCCCUUACCGGGGUUGCGGACAGUGUCUGGUGGGUAGUUUGACUGGGGCGGUCUCCUCCUAAAGAGUAACGGAGGAGCACGAAGGUUGGCUAAUCCUGGUCGGACAUCAGGAGGUUAGUGCAAUGGCAUAAGCCAGCUUGACUGCGAGCGUGACGGCGCGAGCAGGUGCGAAAGCAGGUCAUAGUGAUCCGGUGGUUCUGAAUGGAAGGGCCAUCGCUCAACGGAUAAAAGGUACUCCGGGGAUAACAGGCUGAUACCGCCCAAGAGUUCAUAUCGACGGCGGUGUUUGGCACCUCGAUGUCGGCUCAUCACAUCCUGGGGCUGAAGUAGGUCCCAAGGGUAUGGCUGUUCGCCAUUUAAAGUGGUACGCGAGCUGGGUUUAGAACGUCGUGAGACAGUUCGGUCCCUAUCUGCCGUGGGCGCUGGAGAACUGAGGGGGGCUGCUCCUAGUACGAGAGGACCGGAGUGGACGCAUCACUGGUGUUCGGGUUGUCAUGCCAAUGGCACUGCCCGGUAGCUAAAUGCGGAAGAGAUAAGUGCUGAAAGCAUCUAAGCACGAAACUUGCCCCGAGAUGAGUUCUCCCUGAGACUUAGAGUCUCCUGAAGGAACGUUGAAGACGACGACGUUGAUAGGCCGGGUGUGUAAGCGCAGCGAUGCGUUGAGCUAACCGGUACUAAUGAACCGUGAGGCUUAACCUUACAACGCCGAAG
rnacentral:rRNA from 1 species